CUUCUUCUUCCUCCCCCUCCUUCCGCGGCCGCCGCCGCCGCCGCCGCAGCAUCCUGAGGCCGCGGGCAGGGAAGGCGCGCUGACUUUCCCCUCCUUCCCCCUCCCCCCGGACCACAAGCUGGGAAACAAGCGGUCAAACACACACAACGUCCCGCACUGUCCAAUGUGGCUCUGUCUGCAUCCCGAAUCCAUCACCUCGCGGGAGCUGGAGAGCAGGUUCCUUCCUGGGGCCCUCCCUGCAACGAGGAGAGCCUUUCCAAGCUGCUUUUCUUUGCCCCGUUGGAGUUCUGGGUGCUUAAUCGUUCCGCUUCUGCUCUUCCACUUUGCUGAUGUUCCUGCAAGUCUCCCCACGUUUCUCUGAAAUCAUCCCCUUUCUCAUUUCUUGCAGCAAAAUAAACAUUACAUUCCUAGAG